rnacentral:rRNA from 1 species
AACGAACGCUGGCGGCGUGCUUAACACAUGCAAGUCGAGCGGUAAGGCCCUUUCGGGGGUACACGAGCGGCGAACGGGUGAGUAACACGUGGGUGACCUGCCCUCAGCUCUGGGAUAAGCCUGGGAAACCGGGUCUAAUACCGGAUAUGACUCCAUGACGCAUGUUGUGGGGUGGAAAGCCUUGCGCGGCUGAGGAUGGGCCCGCGGCCUAUCAGCUUGUUGGUGGGGUGAUGGCCUACCAAGGCGACGACGGGUAGCCGGCCUGAGAGGGCGACCGGCCACACUGGGACUGAGACACGGCCCAGACUCCUACGGGAGGCAGCAGUGGGGAAUCUUGCGCAAUGGGCGAAAGCCUGACGCAGCGACGCCGCGUGAGGGAUGACGG